UGACAAUGGGCAAAGUCUCACUUGGACAAGGUAUUGGGUCUGACUGAGCUGAAGUUAAUUUUCCCUCAGCAGCCCUCACAGUGCUGUGCUUUGCAGUGGAAAAGGUGUUGGUAACACACCAGUGCUCUGGCUACUGCUGGGCAGACCUGUCCCUCUAACAUUCCCCCCAUCAAGGGGCUGGGAGUGGGCAAGAUGCUGGGAGGGCACACAACCAGGCCAGCUGACCCAAAUGAGCCAAAGGGAUAUUCCAUACCGUGUGAUGUCAGCUCAGAUAUAAAAGCUAAGGGAGGGAGGAGGAUCAGGGAGGCAUUUGUUACUCUGCAGUGUUUGCCUUCUGGAGCCACCACCACGUGUGCUGAAGCCCUGCUUCCCGGGAAGUGCCUGAACAUCGCUGCCUGAUGGGAAGUAGAGAUUGACUUUUUCUCUUUGCUUAUGCACAUGCAAACUUUCAAUUGCCUUUUUCAUGCUUUAGUAAACUGCCUUGUCUCAA